CACCCACCACACUGGCUUCUUUUCCAAAGGUCCCACUCCCUCCCUACGCGUGCCUCACGAACCCACAACGAAAGACUCUGUGGUCAGAAAGCCGUGAGGUGAGGACUCAAGCACCUCUGACUGGCCUGGAAGAUGAAGGUGGCCUGUAGAAGCUAGAAAAGGCAAGAGAUGGAUUUUGGAACACAGCCUCGAUGACACCUUGAGUGUCACUGAGAAAUGAGAAGAAUGAAACUAAUGACAAAAGAUAGGAAGAAGGAGAAUGAAAUUAAUUGAAUUCCUUCAACGGAUAUUUAUUGGCACCUACUAUCCCAGGUACAGUGAUGAGAAUUGCUAGAACAUCUAUUUUCACGGAGAGAAAUUAUUCGGAUGUCUUGUGAAAAGGCUCAUGAGAAACCUGCCCUUCCCCACAUGAUCCGGUUAUGAAAACAGCCGUGAACCCCUGAAAAUCCAUGGGUUACGGAGGACAGUGAGGACAAUUCUGAGCAGAAACAAAACAGCCCAUCUAACCACACCUCUAGUUUCACCCUGGGCAUUUCACUCCUUCAUUUUCAGAAGGUUAAAGUACAGUAAGUGUUGCCCAGUCAUCUGCUGACUUUCAAAAACUGUUAUAGGGCUGAAAACACGAAUAACAUUUCGCAGUCUGAGUUUCUACAGAAUAUAUUGGUGUUUCAGACAUUGUUUUUUUUUUUU